GAUGAAGAACGUAGCGAAAUGCGAUAAGUAAUGUGAAUUGCAGAAUUCAGUGAAUCAUCGAAUCUUUGAACGCACAUUGCGCCCGCCAGUAUUCUGGCGGGCAUGCCUGUUCGAGCGUCAUUACAACCCUCAGGCCCCCGGGCCUGGCGUUGGGGAUCGGCGGAGCCCCCCGUGGGCACACGCCGUCCCCCAAAUGCAGUGGCGGUCCGCCGCAGCUUCCAUCGCGUAGUAGCUAACACCUCGCGACUGGAGAGCGGCGCGGCCACGCCGUAAAACACCCAACUCUUCUGAAGUUGACCUCGAAUCAGGUAGGAAUACCCGCUGAACUUAAGCAUAUCAAUAAGCGGAGGA
rnacentral:misc_RNA from 1 species